AUUUCUCUAGAGAAGUCUGGGGCCAGCCUGACUGUUUUUUUCCCUUUAUAGGUGACCUACUUCUGCCUGAGUAUUGGUAGAAUUCUUUCUUUAUCCUUGAAGUUCAUUAACUUCAUCAGGAUAUAGCUCGGUCUUGGUGUGAUUCUCUAUUACAUUUUCCUGGUACAUGGUAAGCCAUUUCAAUCUGCGUUCAGGAGUAUGUUCUUAUAUAUCUUACUGAUAUGCUUUCAGUUUUAUUUUUCUUUCCUGAAGGGACAUCAAUUUUAUGAUUAUUCAUCUUCAUUUCCUAUCUUUCAUUUCAGAUGCUUCUUUUGUCUUCUGCUGUGUUCUAGGUAGUUUUCUCAGUAUUAUCUUUUCAUUUCAUUAAUUUGUUUUCAUCAAUAUCAGGUCCACUACUUUAUAUGAUGUAGUUUUCAUUGUGCCAGUGGCUUCAGUACUUCAUUCAUUUUUAUUUAUUUAUGUCGGUGAGCUGCCCUUUCAACUUGUCUCAUUUAUUUCCCUCUUUAAAACAGCUUUUACUUGUGGUAAAAACAGGUAAAACCACAUUGUCUUGAAAUGAGUAAAUCAGUGCUAAUACCACAGUUUAUUCUCCAAGAACACAAGUGAUUAGUGAAAUCUGUUUUAUCAAGUCAUGCUGUUAAAUGUGCUUUAUUAAUGGCAUGAAAUAUGAAAAAACUGUUAUUCAUUUGCAUCCUAAAGACAUUUCUUUUUGCAGUUGGGUGAGCUUUUGUGCACAGUAGAAAUCUGUUUUGCCAUGUGUGCUUUUGUGUGUAUGAGAGAUAAGUGUUCAAGAAUUUUUCUUAUUAAUCGUUGAAGAUCUGUUGAAGAUUUUUUUUUUACCCAGUGUGUUUGUAAUGUAAACCAUUAAGAAAAAUUUCAUUGAGAAGGAAAAUCAUGACUGACAGAGGCUGUGUCAUCCAUGUGUGCCAUAGUAAAAGACCUGCUGUAUGAAUUUCAUAGGAGUACUAACUUGCUCUUUGCUUUAUUCUGAGGAAAUUAAGGUGAUCUAAAGUGCCCCUUGGAGUUCCCGUCAUGGUUCAGCAGAAAUGAAUCUAACUAGGAACCCUGAGGUUGCAGGUUAGAUCCCUGGCCUGGCUCAGUGGGUUAGGGAUCCGGUGUUGCCGUGACCUGUGGUGUAGGGUGCAGAUGAGGCUCGGAGCUGGCAUUGCUGUGGCUGUGGUGUAGGCUGGCAGCUGUAGCUGCUGUUGGACCCUUAGCCUGAGAACCUCCGUAUGCCGUGGGUGCACCCCUAAAAAGACAACAGACCCAAAAAAAAAAAAAAAAGUGCCCCUUAAUCUCCAUUUGAGGUUGAAGGAAAUAGUGAAAAUUGUGAAUGUGUGUAAAAUGUGGUUACUGAGCAUGAUAUUUUCACUGUGAUUUAUUAAAAUACGUGCAAGACAUAUGUACUGUAAAGUAUCCUAACUGUUUAGUAGGGCCUAGGUUCUCCCAUGGUUUUUGUUGUUGUUUUUUUGGUUUUUUUUUUGGUACGGUGGCUGAGAUAACUGGCAUUUUUAAUGUUUUUGUUGAUGUUAACAGAGGUUAUUUUAGUUAAUCAGCAUGGCCUGAUAUGGCCAGCAGCAUACCCAGUAUUGUGAAUAACCUGAAUUUACUACUUUAUGAGAGGCUAUUCAUAGCUUAUUCUUAAAGUUGUUAGAAUUACCUAAAGGCUCUAAACUGUUAUGUUUGAUUGCCAGUAAUGUGGCAUCUUCCUGAGAUGAUGCGUAUGUUUUCACUGAUCCAUUAAUUCAACAGAUAUUUACAGAGGGCCUACUACAUGCCAGGGACUGGAACAGGUGCUGGAAUAUAUCACUAAACAAAAGUCCAUGCCCUUUUAGAGCUUGCAUUCUAGUGGGUGUAGGGGAGAUAAACAAAACUAAUAGGGAGUAUAUAAGCAUAGAGUAAUAAGCAUUAUAAAGAGUAGGGGAGGAAGUUCCCAUCCUGGCUCAGUGGUUAACGAACCCGACUAGCAUCCAUGAGGUCUUGGGUUCAAUCCCUGGCCCUGCUCAUCGGGUUAAGGAUCCGUCAUUGCUGUGAGCUGUGGCAGGCACAUCUCGGAUCCUAUGUGGCUGUGGCUUGUGGAAUAGGCCAGCGGUUAUAACUCCGAUUUGACCCCUAGCCUGGGAAUCUCCAUAUGCUGCCCUCUAAAAAGCCAGGGGGGAAAAAAAAAAGAUUAUGGGGAUAAAAUAGGGAGGACAGUGUAAGAGUAUGGGGGUUACAAUUUAAUUAAAACAGGAUGACAUUCGUAUAAUUGAAUUAGCUAAGAAAGGGAAUCGUUCAGAGGGUCCAGCAAACAAAAGACAGAAUUGGGACAGACUUGAGCGUUGGAGGAAGAUAAGGGAAAGCAGUUAGCUGAAGCCAAGUAGUAGCAAGUAGAAGGUUGGAGAGAUGCUGGAUAAUUCUAAAGAAACUUUUAGGCCACUAUGCAGGCUAUUCAUUAAUCUGAGUCAGAACUCAAAGCCCUAGGAAUAGUGACAUGAUCUGAAUUCACAUAUCGAUAGGAUCAUUUUGGGUGCUGAAUUGACACGAGAAAGAUUUCAGAGUACCCACGUUUAUUAAAGUAAACAUUUAUAGCCGAAAUGAAAGCUCCACCAACAAUAUCUCUAUUGUAUUUUUCCUCUUAUUAGGAAGAGAAAUGCUGUUUAUGUCCCACUAGAUCUGUUUCAUGACUGCCCAACUUAGAGUUGAAAAGCACUGCUAAAUGAGAUACAACCUUCUUUCCUUGCUGGGAAGGAAGGAAAUAGUAGAACGUAGGGUGUUGUGUAAUAGAAACUUAAAAAAUCAAUGUUAUCCGCAAACUUAGCUUUAAAAAAAAUCAAGUAAUUGUCAGUGAUAGAAAAGGCCUAAUCAUGAAGAGCCCCACUUCUCAGAGACACCUACUUAAAGAAAAAACCUUGUUCAGAUUUCCUGGGGCUUAACUCCAUGUUCUAAAUAAUAUGCUUAUAGUGUUUAUUUUUUGGUUUAUCAACUUGAGACAUUCUCUGUUGACUUCUUGCUAUGACAGAUGUUUUCAGUCCCACUUCUCACUACUGACCUUCCUCGUACGACGGUCACUGAACUGGCGCCUCUCUGGGGUUCUGCCCAGAAGAUUAGCCUUCCUCCUUCGCUGCACCCCCUCUAACCAUGGGCAAUCUCUAUGUUCUUUUAAAAAAAUAUUUUUAAUUAAACAUUUAUGUUAAAAUUUCUUUAGAAAAGUUUAUUUUAAGUUGUUAGGAAGGAGAAGAGAUAAUCUGGCACCUUGAAGAUUAGAAGUUUUGGCCAAAUUUUUUUGUUUUGUUUUUUUUUAAAUGUGCGUAGUGUGUUUAAGAGUUAGAUGCAUUUACAAUAUUUAAUCUUUUUUUUUUUUUUUUUUUUUAUUGUCUUUUUGCUAUUUCUUUGGGCCGCACCCGCAGCACAUGGAGGUUCCCAGGCUAGGGGUCGAAUCGGAGCCGUAGCCACCGGCCUAUGCCAGAGCCACAGCAACGUGGGAUCUGAACCGCGUCUGCAACCUACACCACAGCUCACGGCAACGCCGGAUCGUUAACCCACUGAGCAAGGGCAGGGAUCGAACCCGCAACCUCAUGGUUCCUAGUCGGAUUCGUUAACCACUGUGCCACGACGGGAACUCCUACAAUAUUUAAUCUUUUAAAAACAAAUUUUAUCUUCCAAUGUCAUUAACUACUCUUUCAAAGUGAUAUAUAGCAUUCUUUCAUAUAGGAUUCCCCCAAUUUUAGGUUAUUUUUAUAUUACAAGUUAUAUAAAUUAUAACUAAUGAUCCUAUGGAUUUUCCUUAUGGAAAUAUUUACAUUUAAUCUUUAUUUCUCAGGAGUGGUCAUUGCUAAAUCAAAGAAGAUAAACAUUUUUUUGAAGCCCUUUUU
rnacentral:lncRNA from 1 species